CAAAGGACGGAUUCAUCUCAGGGUCGACGUUGCUGGCUGGACAGAAGUUGCGAAUUCUACCUUCAAAGGAUGAGCAAUGAGCAAAUCCCAAGAGCCACUAGGUCGUCCAAGGAUAAUCCCCUUUGGGAGAAGCUUUGUUGCAGCUGAGAAAUGUUGAACCUUGGAGAUGGCAAUUGUAUUGUUUCACUAGCCUUUGAUAUCCUUCCAUCCUUUCUCCCUUUGGGAACAUCCCAUGUUGGGCCUCCAGACUCGAGAGCCACAAUAUCAGCGCAAGAGACAACACCGGGGCAAUAGGAUUCCAGUUCUUUCUUUGCGUUGUCGAUCACGAAAAACGAGUGCAAAGAUAAAUUAGGAGGCCCAUCUUUCUCAGCUUUGUUGUUACCUACUGAAUUCAGCAGUACAGAUGCAUCACAGCCCUUCACCCAAGCAAACAAAACCAGUCAUGAAAGUGCAUCCGGAGGAGUCCCGCAGGGACAGUCUUGUCUUUGUAAGCUGCACUCCUGACAGCUUUAUUAACGAUGAAGUCAACACCUGGACAUGUCUUCUCGUAGUAGUCUAAGCUCAGUGAACUCCCCAAAGGCAAAACAGACAGCAAAAGAAUUGCAAAGUGUGAGAAUACCACAGCAAAUGAGGCCAUGACCUACAAAUAUAGAAAAUGAAAGGUGAUAGAAGAGUUACAAUACAAAGCCGUGACAUGAUAGCGGCCCCAGACGUUGAACAAAUGCAAAUGAUGACGAAGUGAUUCUGAAGCAAUGCUGAUCCAACAACAUGCACGACACUGGCUGCUGUUGCUCCUUGAACCUUCAACUUUCGGACUUAGGGAGUGGGACAACAUCAUGCCAAAAUUUUGGUAAUAAUUAUGUUUGCUUUGAAUGAAAGAUCUGGAAACCCAAAAAGGUUAUACCCUCCUCUUGUUGCUAUUGGCAUCUUGGUUGGUCCCUAAUUUGGUGCACUUUAACGAACGCGGUUUUGGAGACUGUUA